UCCAGCAAGUCAUGGUGAAGAUUAUGCUGGUCUCGUUGUUCAUUGUAUUUCACGCCCCUUCCCACUUCAACUGGAUUGGACGUCUAUCAUCAUCAAUGGCAGCCAAUAACGAGUUAAAUAAUUUACCAUACUGUGCUGUGCAGCGUUUUAUCACAAUUUGGUUUGCUGUUGAAGGGACAUAUAGUAGCUGUUCUGCAUCAUUGAUUUAACAAAUAUCAAAUAUGUAGAGUACAGUGUAAUUUAUAUUAUACUACUAAGAUUUGAAUGUAGUGACCAAAGAUGAUGAUACAUAUUUACUAGGGAUGCACUGUCAUGGCCACAGCCCCUGCUGCGGCAUUGCCUAAUUGCCUUCAAUUAUCCCCACCUAUCCUCAGUUCACCUUCUCACAGCCCAGCCAAUAGCACUGCUUCAUUCAGCAAUCAACCUGUGUAUUUAAAGCCUUGAUUUUCACUUCCACUCUGUCAGACCGUCUGUGAAGCCAGCCUGUUACCCGCCUGCCUAGCUCUCUGAAUCCGACUCUAGUUGCCGAAUCUGAACCUGCCCGACUGCUGCCUUCUCUCUUGCCCUGAGGAAAGGACUGACCUGUGUGCUGCCGCAUGUGCGCAUUGAGACUGCGCUGGCGGGUGAAGGUGCAUCCGCAUAGUGAACAUGAAAAGUUCCUGUCGCCUCGACAUGCUAUUCGGGGGGCUCGUCGCUGAAGUGGUUUGCUGGAGUUAAUGCCACACUUCUUCGCAACUCGGACGCAAUUUGUGGUCAGGCCUGUUUGCCAUGUGUCACUAGGGUCUUCCAGCUCCUGCACAGUCAAUGAAAGUUCACAACAAUUAUGAGAGUCCGUCACCAGUAUACUCAGCGCUGCUUCAGCCACAUUCAGCCUCCUCUUCAGGUCCUCCAUCUGUGCAUCCCCUUGCAUCACCUGCACACAAGUAAUCUUUUUCACGGUCAAAUUCUUAACACUACAAUGGAAUCUGAAUGUGAGCGGACAUGAAGUAAAAUGAAGGCUUUUAUCGCUACUUAGUCCAUGUACUUUAUUCUACAUCAUUUACUUAGAGCUUAAAACUAAGCAAAAAGGUAUAAUUCUCAGUUUAUGAAU